GACGAACGCUGGCGGCGUGCCUAAUACAUGCAAGUCGAACGCUUCUUUUUCACCGAACUUCGGUUCAUCGAAAAAGAGGAGUGGCGAACGGGUGAGUAACACGUGGGUAACCUGCCCAUCAGAAGGGGAUAACACUUGGAAACAGGUGCUAAUACCGUAUAAUGCUUUUUCUCGCAUGAGAGCAAGCUGAAAGGCGCUUUUGCGUCACUGAUGGAUGGACCCGCGGUGCAUUAGCUAGUUGGUGAGGUAACGGCUCACCAAGGCCACGAUGCAUAGCCGACCUGAGAGGGUGAUCGGCCACACUGGGACUGAGACACGGCCCAGACUCCUACGGGAGGCAGCAGUAGGGAAUCUUCGGCAAUGGACGAAAGUCUGACCGAGCAACGCCGCGUGAGUGAAGAAGGUUUUCGGAUCGUAAAACUCUGUUGUUAGAGAAGAAACAAAGGAUGAGAGUAAAAUGUCCUUCC
rnacentral:rRNA from 1 species